rnacentral:lncRNA from 1 species
UAGGAAUCAAACUGAGUGUACCUGAGCAUUGUGAAACAGGGAGUGUGUUGUCAGGGAGUUUUCGGUGGACUUUAGAGCCAUAAAUGUAUGUGAAUGAUUAAUUCUGCUGCAGAUUGGAGUCUUUAGGUUGAUCACGGAGAACGACGAAGCAACAAGUUUCUCACAGCGACCGGGUAGCUAAAUAUAGCUGCGUGUAAACACUGUUAAUUCUGUAAAACAACAACUGCUAAGUACCUUUCAGUUUUAAGUGGUCUAGCUAAUGCUAAAACCGCUGUUAGCCGACCGGGAGCCGGAUCCUCUUUCCGUCUUGUCAUUGAAAGCUUGAUUCAUAACUUGAAUCCAUGAGAGCAGCGCAUGUUUGAGUAAGGAUGGAUGAAAGUAAGAACGAUCGCGAGACUCCGCCCACAACUCCACCCAAAGCCACGCCCUCUCUUUCAGCGUCCACUGAUCAGCCGAUGAGUUUGAGCAGCCCAGAGUUGCUGAAGGAGCUGAAACAGCCUCUCACACUCAAACACGUCCAUAAACGCAACGGCUGGACCAAAAUCUUCAGCGGGAAAGGACGACCAAUCAAACAAAACACACUCUGCACUGAUUCGGAGGAUUUAGAGAAUCGAGCUAAACCAGCACAGUGACAAUCAGCAGGCGCGCUCUCAUUGGCAGUUUGAGAUGUCUGUCAGAGCUACGCCCCGCCCCUAUACCAAUGUGGGCGUGUUCUGUCUCUGUGAGCUGCUCUGGUUAUUAUCAGGGUCUUCAUCUGGGAUGUUUCUGUACAAGAUUUAAAAACCAGUGUAACUUUCCCCAUAGCACAACUAAUAUUUGAGUAACGUUGGUUAUCUAAUCAGAAUCAAAGCUGGAGGACUGAGUGUGAAGAAUAUGAACUGGAAAAAUGGCAAGAUGAAUUUACUGAAUUGCAAUUGAAAACUCAGUACCCAGUUGCAUCUUUACCAUGUGAAAACGAAUAAAUCAAAUACAUUUUGCCUC